CUGGUGGAGACUUUCGGCGCUUGCAAAAAGGCUCACCUCUCUGUUAAUACUGAAGGAAAAUUGGAGUUUAAAAAACCAUACGAUUACACUAAUUUUGAUGAGGAAUUUAAAGAUUAUGAGCCCCGUCCAUUUGACCCGCAGUUUGGUACCAUAGGUUGGUACGAUCUUCGUUCGAGAAGGAAGAGGGAUGUUCCAGACACAGAAAAUCGUCAAACCAUUUACUACAAAGUCUGUUUCUGCUUAGUAUUAAUUAAUGCAGUUAACAUUUUCAGAUCGACAUGAUUGCAGAAUGGAGUCAAUAAAACAAAUUCCAUCUGAUAUUCAACAUAAAUUUUAAGUUUAGAAUAACAAGCUCACAAGAGCUUGGUUUUAGAUAUCACUUGGGACCACAGACUAACAGACAAAGGAACAAAGCAAAACGACUCUGCGAUUUGAUGUAGAAACUCCUGACUCCGAAGCCUGCAGCCGCCCUCCAAUUCUCAAGUCAGAAGUGUGCCAAUGAUGGUGCAGAUCCAACAACACUGGAAACGAUCUUGAGUCUAGACCAAAGCAGCCCCUUGAUUGGCACCGUAUCCAUUCUCUCCACAACCAACUCCAAGACACAAUAAUGUGUCCAUAUACAAGAUGCACUGCCACAUUUUUUUCCAACUAUUCUUACACCCGCCUUUCCAGACUUAGAAAACUCAUCUUCAAGGUCAAGGACAUCAGACAUGGUAGCACUAAUCCCAGUAAAAAUCACCUCCAAGCUACUCUCAAACUUAUUUGGAAAUGAAUGAUUGUUCCUGAGUCAAUAUUAGUAAUCUCUUUUGGAACAGCAUUGUGGGUCUGUGUACAGCAACAUGAAGCUGUUCAAGAAGUCAAUUUGUGCUGGACAAUCAGCAACAGCUAUGUCUCAUUAAAGAAUAAAUAAAUCGGAAAGAAAUCCAUCUGAGAGUCACAAGCAAAUGGGUAACUUUUUUUUGUUCACUCUGCAGCUCGUGGGCUAUUACCAAUUUUGACAAUGACAAAUGAAGCUUUUGUUUGGUUUGCUAUUGAUAGCAGCUGUCCACAAAAUAAAAACAAUUGGCAUCAGAGAUAAUGGGAACUGCAGAUGCUGGAGAAUCCAAGAUUACAAAGUGUGGAGCUGGAUGAACACAGCAGGCCAAGCAGUAUCUCAGGAGCACAAAAGCUGACGUUUCGGGCCUAGACCCUUCAUCAGAAAAGAGGGAGGAGGAGAGGGCUCUGAAAGAAAUAGGGAGAGGGGAAGGCAGAUUGAAGAUGGAUAGAGGGGAAGAUAGGUGCAGAGGAGACAGACAAGCAAUAAGGAAGGAGAGGAUCAAAUAUCAAGGUAGGCUAGCUAGUCAUAUCAGAAAUCAUAGUAACGGCUUCUUUCAAUACAUAAGAAACAAACGUGAGGCAAAAGUAGACACUGGGCCACUCCAAAUUGAUGCUGGAAGGCAAGUGGUGGGAGAUAAGGAAGUAGCUGAAGAACUUAAUAAGUACUUUGCGUCAGUCUUCACAGUGGAAGACAUGAGUAAUAUGCCAACAAUUAGGGAGAGCCAGGGGGCAGAGCUGAGGAUGGUAGGAAUUACAAAAGAGCAAGUGCUAAAAGAGCUAAAAGGUCUAAAAAUUGAUAAAUCUCCUGGCCCCAAUGGGCUAUAUCCUAGAGUUCUGAACAAGGUGGCUGAGGAAAUAGCAGAGGCUUUGGCUAUGAUCUUUCAAAAGUCAGUGUAGUUUUUUUUUGAGUGCGAGCAGCAGCGGAGGCAAGACGGACCCGGAAGACUGCAGCUAAGGUAAAGCAGUUUAUUUUUAAAAUUACUUACCGGUAGCGGGCAGUGGUGUUUUUUCCUCUUUCAGAGAAGGAGCGGGAGCAGCGGAGGAAGUGACGAGGACCAGAGGGGCAGCCGGGAAGGAAAGCAGUGAGUAUAAAUACUCACCCUUCGACGCCAACGGCCAUUAUGAGUGCGAGCAGCAGCAGAGGCAAGAUGGACCCGGAAGACUGCAGCUAAGAUGCGGAUAAAGUUCUCCAAGCUGACAGAAAUUGAAAGCACUCGCAUCCUGUGACGAUGGGGUAGGAGUGGAAGAAUCAGAGUGUUUCUUUGAAAAUUGGCUUGAUGUCUGUCCAAGGGUCAUCUGGAGGAAAAAAUACAAGUAUAUCUUCAAACAAGUAGCUGAACCCACAGAUUUAUGUGACCAACGAAGCCUGAGCCUUUUGCUUCACGCUGCAGUCCAGAUCCCUCGGCAGCUGGGUGAGGUAGCUUCAUUUGGAGGCAGCACCAUUGAACCAAGUGUCCGCAGUUGCUUCCAACAUGCACUCAGACAUGAACUAAUGGAUAAGGAGGAGACAAUCAUAACUGCUUUGGAUUCAGCCCAUAGAAGGGCCAGAGGAGCCGCGCUGACACCUUCAUGUUUAAACAGAGGACACUUUUCUGCGUGCCACGAGAUGUAUAUCAGCCAUACCAAAAUGCUGCCUUUGCCUGAGACAGGGAAGAUCAACUGACUUUGGGGAAAUGGAGAAUCAUUCAUGAAUCCAGUUACUUUCUGAUCUGACAGCUUUGUGGCAUCUGAAUGGAUAACAAUUUGAUCUGGUAAUCUCAAUUGAUAGAGUGCAAAUGUGUAGUGAUGCAUUUUGGGAGCUCUGGUAAGUGAAAGAUGUUCACAAUGACUAGUAGAUCCCUAGAGAGCACUGAGAAACAAAGGGACCUUGAUGUCCAAAAGCAAGAGUUCAUGCCCUCUGCUUCUGGCCUUUCAGGCAAAGUUGGAUCCAACACUCCACUGAGUCUUAGAUCCCAUGAGCUCUUGUUUUGUUGACCAGUCUGCUAUCACUGACCUUAUCAAAAACAUAUAGACCACAUCAGAUGAAUUUCCCUCUUCAACACUUCUGAUAUCUCCUCAAUAAAAAUUAGAUAAAAUUUGCAAACCAUGGCAUUACCUCAACAAAGCCAUGCUGACUAUCCCCGAACAUUCCAUGUUUCUCCAAGUGCAGCGACAUUUUGUCCCUUAAAAUUCUUUCUGAUAACUUCCCUACCACCAAGGUUAGACUGGCUUGUAACUUCUGGAUCUGUCCUUUCUUCUUUUAUAUAAAAGUAUGAGCGGUCCUCUGGCACCUUAGCUGUGGCCAGAAAUGACUUGAAAAAUCUUUGCCAGGACCUUUUGAUAUCUCCUCCCCUGCUUCAUAAAGUCAUGCAGUAUAGAAACAGGCUCACUUGAUCAACAUCAAUGCCAACUAACAAACAUCAAACUACUGAUCCCAUUUACCUGCACUGAGUCAUUACCUGCCAUACCCUGGCCCUUUAAAUGCUCAUCUGUUGCUUCUUUAAUAUUGCAAGCGUAUCUGCCUUCUCCACCUUGUCAAGCAGCAUAUUACAUGUCUGUAUCACUUUUGGUGAAAACACUUGCCUCAGAUCCCCUCUAAAUAGCUGACAGUUUACCUGAAAUCUAUGCCCCCUGACUUAAACUCGUCUACUGGUUCUCACAAUCAAUCUAUGCCUCUCAUAAUUUUGUAUACGUCGAUCAGAUUUCCCCUCAGCCUCCUCUGCUGCAUGGAAAACGCAAUUAGCCUACCAGUUUCUCCUCAUAAAACUUGCAUUCAAUCACAAAACAACACCCUGAAACAUAUACUAUCAACCAACCUGGCCAACAUCUCUGUCUCCGGCUUGCUACAGUGUUCCAGUGAAGCCCAGCACAAGCAGACAGAACAACACCUCAUUUUCUACUUGGGGACCUGACAGCCCUCCAGACUUAACAUUGAGUUCUGCAAUGUUAGGGCCUAAACUCUCCCAUAUCCCAGCGCCCCCACCCCACACACCAGGCUUUGUUACCACGCAGCCUGCCACCACACACUCCCUGUUGUUAGUGACUAACAGUCCCCAUUGACGACUUCCCAGCCUGAUCAUUAGCAACUCCUUUAUCUGUCCACCUGUCUUUCUCUCUCUUUGGGCUCUAUCCUAUUGUUUACUCCCUCCCCCACCCUCCUCCCUAUUUUCGGCAUAGAAACUGAUGUUUUCCCAGCCACCAUCAGUUCUGGGGAAGGGUCACUGGACUGGAAAUGUAAACUCUGUUUUUUCCUCCAACAUAUGUUGCCACACCUGCUGAGCUUUUCCAGCAACUUUGUUUUUGCUCGUCAUUUACAGCAUCCGCAGUUCUUGUGGUUUUUAUCACUAAACCUGUCAGACUCAUCAAUGCUCUCUAAUGCUCCAACUUGUUGCUCAAAUUGCUCCAAUAAGAGGCACCUGCUGUACACAUGGUCAUGCAGACCAGCAGGAGCACUCAGCAUUUGACAUGUAGCGUAGGAUGCACCAAUCAUGGGUCAGAUCUUAAUUCCAGGCAUACCUUAACUCAACAGAACACGGAUCUUUGCUUUUAAUUUACUCAUUCUCCUGCUUAAUUGUAGGGGACAAAAACCGGUGUUCACUCUCAGGUCUCUGCUGAUAUGCCUGCUUUUCAGGGAGAGCCUUAUCUCACCCACUCCUCUCAAUAACAUUCUCUGACUGUCACUGGGCCAACCCUCUGCUCUCAGUAACACUGUCUGCCCGUCACAGGGCCCUCACCCCCUCCUCUAAGUAAUACUGCCC